UACGAAGGGGGCUAGCGUUGCUCGGAAUCACUGGGCGUAAAGGGUGCGUAGGCGGGUUUUUAAGUCAGGGGUGAAAUCCUGGAGCUCAACUCCAGAACUGCCUUUGAUACUGAAGAUCUUGAGUCCGGGAGAGGUGAGUGGAACUGCGAGUGUAGAGGUGAAAUUCGUAGAUAUUCGCAAGAACACCCGUGGCGAAGGCGGUUCUCUGGGACGGUACUGACGCUGAGACGCGAAAGCGUGGGGAGCGAACAGGG
rnacentral:rRNA from 1 species